GUUGAUCCUGCCGGAGGCCACUGCUAUCGGAGUUCGAUUAAGCCAUGCGAGUCGGGAGGUGCAAGACCUCGGCAUACUGCUCAGUAACACGUGGACAACCUAACCUAUGGAGGGGGAUAACCCCGGGAAACUGGGGAUAAUACCCCAUAGACUAUGGAUGCUGGAAUGCUCUGUAGUUGAAAGGUCCGCCGCCAUAGGAUGGGUCUGCGGCCGAUUAGGUUGUUGUUGGGGUAACGGCCCAACAAGCCUGUAAUCGGUACGGGUUGUGGGAGCAAGAGCCCGGAGAUGGAUUCUGAGACACGAAUCCAGGCCCUACGGGGCGCAGCAGGCGCGAAAACUUUACAAUGCGGGAAACCGUGAUAAGGGAACUCCGAGUGCCCGUAAAAUCGGGCUGUCCAUCUGUUUAAAUAACAGGUGAAGAAAGGGCCGGGCAAGACCGGUGCCAGCCGCCGCGGUAAUACCGGCGGCUCGAGUGGUGGCCACUAUUACUGGGCUUAAAGCGUUCGUAGCUGGUUUGUUAAGUCUCUGGGGAAAUCUGCCGGCUCAACCGGCAGGCGUUCCAGGGAUACUGGCAGACUAGGGACCGGGAGAGGUGAGGGGUACUCCAGGGGUAGGAGUGAAAUCCUGUAAUCCUUGGGGGACCACCUGUGGCGAAGGCGCCUCACCAGAACGGCUCCGACAGUGAGGGACGAAAGCUGGGGGAGCAAACCGGAUUAGAUACCCGGGUAGUCCCAGCCGUAAACGAUGCGCGUUAGGUGUAUCGGUGACCACGAGUCACCGAGGUGCCGAAGAGAAAUCGUGAAACGUGCCGCCUGGGAAGUACGGUCGCAAGGCUGAAACUUAAAGGAAUUGGCGGGGGAGCACCACAACGG
rnacentral:rRNA from 1 species